rnacentral:rRNA from 1 species
AGGAAUAUUGGUCAAUGGGCGAGAGCCUGAACCAGCCAAGUAGCGUGAAGGACGACUGCCCUAUGGGUUGUAAACUUCUUUUAUAAAGGAAUAAAGUCGGGUAUGCAUACCCGUUUGCAUGUACUUUAUGAAUAAGGAUCGGCUAACUCCGUGCCAGCAGCCGCGGUAAUACGGAGGAUCCGAGCGUUAUCCGGAUUUAUUGGGUUUAAAGGGAGCGUAGAUGGAUGUUUAAGUCAGUUGUGAAAGUUUGCGGCUCAACCGUAAAAUUGCAGUUGAUACUGGAUAUCUUGAGUGCAGUUGAGGCAGGCGGAAUUCGUGGUGUAGCGGUGAAAUGCUUAGAUAUCACGAAGAACUCCGAUUGCGAAGGCAGCCUGCUAAGCUGCAACUGACAUUGAGGCUCGAAAGUGUGGGUAUCAAACAGGAUUAGAUACCCUGGUAGUCCACACGGUAAACGAUGAAUACUCGCUGUUUGCGAUAUACUGCAAGCGGCCAAGCGAAAGCGUUAAGUAUUCCACCUGGGGAGUACGCCGGCAACGGUGAAACUCAAAGGAAUUGACGGGGGCCCGCACAAGCGGAGGAACAUGUGGUUUAAUUCGAUGAUACGCGAGGAACCUUACCCGGGCUUAAAUUGCAGAUGAAUUACGGUGAAAGCCGUAAGCCGCAAGGCAUCUGUGAAGGUGCUGCAUGGUUGUCGUCAGCUCGUGCCGUGAGGUGUCGGCUUAAGUGCCAUAACGAGCGCAACCCUUGUUGUCAGUUACUAACAGGUUCCGCUGAGGACUCUGACAAGACUGCCAUCGUAAGAUGUGAGGAAGGUGGGGAUGACGUCAAAUCAGCACGGCCCUUACGUCCGGGGCUACACACGUGUUACAAUGGGGGGUACAGAGGGCCGCUACCACGCGAGUGGAUGCCAAUCCCCAAAACCUCUCUCAGUUCGGACUGGAGUCUGCAACCCGACUCCACGAAGCUGGAUUCGCUAGUAAUCGCGCAUCAGCCACGGCGCGGUGAAUACGUUCCCG